AUACUUACCUGGAUGAGAUCAAUGGGUGAUCAAAGAGGCCCGUGUUCUAGGUUCGUGACUUCUAUUGCACUCAGGAGGGGUGUUUGUCUAAGGUUUACUAAGUGGUUGUCUAUGUCAUAAUUUCUGGUAGUUGGGGCUUGCGUUCGCAAGACCUUA